UGAGUCCUACGGGGGGCAGCAGUAGGGAAUCUUCCACAAUGGACGAAAGUCUGAUGGAGCAACGCCGCGUGAAGGAAGAAGGUCUUCGGAUUGUAAACUUAUUUUAUCAGGGAAGAAAAAAAUGACUGUACCUGAAGAAGAAGCACCGGCUAACUACGUGACAGCAGCCGCGGUAAUACGUAGGGUGCAAGCGUUAUCCGGAUUUACUGGGUGUAAAGGGCGAGUAGACGGCGUUGCAAGUAAGAUGUGAAAGGCUAGGGCUCAACCUUAGGAGAGCAUCUGAAACUGAA
rnacentral:rRNA from 1 species